GGCAUCAAUAACAAGCUCCAUUCACACCAAGCCCCAUCUCCUGCAUGUCCACACAUGCACUCCGAAAAGGUGAGCACUGCGGCCCACGCAGAGGCUAUUAUUUUGUAAACAACAACAAAAGAGGAAGGACUUUUUUUUUCGUAUUUAUCUUGUUGCUUGUUGGACCGCCACUCUCUCCUCUCCCGAUACGCUUGUGUCGUGCACGCAUGUACACUCCGUCUCUCGCUCGCGCGCUCUUCCUGCGUGUGUAUGCCUCCGAUGCUGUCGUCGAUGUUCCCGCCCCCCCUUCCCCACCCUGUAUCUCCUCGCGCACGCUUUCACGGAUGCUUCCUCUCAUUUUGUUUCGCCUUUCUUUUUUUUUUGCUGUUAUUAUUCGCCCCGCGGGCAUGAUGUCUCUCUCUCUCGCUUGAUGCUAGGACUUCUUAUCCCAUUGCUGCUUCGCCGCCCUCUGUCGGUGGGGUGCCUCCUUCAUUCGUUGUGUCGCAGAUGUGCGCGCAGGACAAUUUCAGGCGUGCUGGUAAGAUGGGUGUGUGAGAUUUUGAGCAUAUGUGCCGGUGCGAGAAAGGCGGGAAAAGAGGAGAACCAAUGUGCCCUGUGCAAUGCCAGAGAAAUCAUACUUCGCACGGUGCAGCACGGCGGAAACGAGCGACCAG
rnacentral:misc_RNA from 1 species